rnacentral:lncRNA from 10 species
AAAGUUCCAUCUCAGAGCCCUGCUGUCAUGCUAUGAGAGAGGACAUGGAGGAGACAAGUGAAAUCUCAGGAGGAUGCUUACCAGGAAUCAGGAAACUGGAAAAACAAUGGCCUGCUGGGACAGAUCUCCAAGCCCUAGAGGACCACAGGUGAAUGUCACCUGUAAGUCUCCGCUCAUUCUAGCCAAUGUAAUUCUACAAAAGGCCACAUCUAAACUACUGAAAUGCAUGCAAGUAAUUUUCAAAGGCCUACAGACUCUGCUAUGCUUCAGUAGCUGUCCUAUCAAAAUUAACCCUGAAGGGUGUCACUUCUGA